rnacentral:ncRNA from 1 species
AUAAAUUCUGUGACGGGAAAGAGUAGGACAAACUGCAAAGAUUUUAGCGAACUGGGGAUGGUGAAAGCCCGGAAUCGAAGCGUUGUCUGAAUGGAUCCCCGAGAAGCUAGGCGAAAUGAAAAGAGUAGCUGAAGCCGUUGGUCUUACGUUACAAGGACAGGGUAUCGAUCAAAUGUUUUGAAUCCGUACCUGGUAGAGAAAGAUGAUAAUAAUAUCAUUAGGUGGCAUAACGAGCUUAUACGCUUCGUCCUAAUAUGGGCGAAGCGUUUUUUGAUAUAAUUAUCUUCUAAAUCAAGGUGGCACCGCGAUAAUAUCGCCCUUACU